rnacentral:misc_RNA from 1 species
GUAGGUGAACCUGCGGAAGGAUCAUUACCAAAUCCAAAACUUUUAUCAACACCAAAAAAGUGAACUGAGAAUGGUUUCGUUCCCACUGGAAGAAGUUGUUUCUUUUUAAGAACGGCUCGGACGGUGGGAAUGCUUAUUUUUUCAACCCCUUUUCAACCUCUUACAAUCUUUUAUGCUGAAAGCAAAAAAAAACGAAACAUGAGACAACUUUUAACGGUGGAUCUCUUGGCUCGU